rnacentral:lncRNA from 1 species
UGCCAGCUGAAGUGAAUGUGGUUACUUUUAGUGGCUGGCUGUCCCUUUGUCCUCCUGGAAGCCUUCUCCCUCUGCCUGCUUUUCUUUUACAGGAGGUUGGUGACACCACAGUGUUCAAUACUCAGACUUCCAGAUUACUGUGCAACAGAGACUCCUGUGUCACCCUAAGCACUGGUGUUGACAGAGAAGAGAAAAAUCGCAGAUGCCUGCCUCUCCUAAGCCCAGGGCACGCUGUGUGUUUCGAUUUCAUGCUGGUGGUCAGUCUAUCCCUGAAAAGCCAUCUUCUGCCUUGAAUUCCAUCUCCUAGCUACCUCUAUGGCUACCUGGGUUAUGUGGAUGAAGCUCAGGAAGAGGAUCCCUAAGACUAUAGCAGGAAAGUUCUAAGCAGACAUGGAAGUCACUGGGCUGGUUGAGCUUUGAUCUGGGAAAAUGGAAGGCCGGGUUUCUGGGUGCCCACUGCCAACUUUUGCAGCAAGAGUGAGCCUUGUUGAUCCUGCUGGCUCAGACGUACUCCAUUUCCUGGUAAUUAAACAAGUGGAGAUCAAAGCUGACAAAUCUCCCAGUCUCUCAGAACAGG